AUUGAACGCUGACGGCGUGCUUAACACAUGCAAGUCGAUCGGUAACGCGGGGGCAACCCUGGCGACGAGAGGCGGACGGGUGAGGAACGCUUGGGAAUCUGCCCUUCAGCGGGGGACAACACGGGGAAACUCGUGCUAAUACCGCAUAACGCUCCACGGAGGAAAAGCCGGGGGAACCCGCAAGGCCUGGCACUGAAGGAUGAGCCCAAGUCGGAUUAGCUAGUUGGCGGGGUAACGGCCCACCAAGGCGACGAUCCCGUAGCUGGUCUGAGAGGACGAUCAGCCACACUGGGACUGAGACACGGCCCCAGACUCCUACGGGAGGCAGCAGUGGGGAAUA
rnacentral:rRNA from 1 species